rnacentral:rRNA from 1 species
UAACGGCGAGUGAAGCGGCAACAGCCCAAAUUUGAAAUCCGGCUCCCCGCGGGCCCGAGUUGUAAUUUGCAGAGGAUGCUUUUGGCAAGGUGCCCUCCGAGUCCCCUGGAACGGGGCGCCGCAGAGGGUGAGAGCCCCGUACGGUCCGGCACCGCGCCUGCCUGUAAAGCUCCCUCGACGAGUCGAGUAGUUUGGGAAUGCUGCUCAAAACGGGAGGUAAACUCCUUCUAAGGCUAAAUACCGGCCAGAGACCGAUAGCGCACAAGUAGAGUGAUCGAAAGAUGAAAAGCACUUUGGAAAGAGAGUUAAACAGCACGUGAAAUUGUUGAAAGGGAAGCGCUUGCGGCCAGACUUGCGGCGGGCGGCUCAGCAGCGCCUCGUGCGCUGUGCACUCUGCCCGCCACAGGCCAGCAUCGGUUCCCGUCGGGGGACAAGUGCGGGGGGAACGUGGCUCUUCGGAGCGUUAUAGCCCCCCGCUACGCCCCGCCGGGGACCGAGGCUCGCGCCCUGUGCAAGGAUGCUGGCGUAAUGGCCGCCAGCGACCCGUCUUGAAACACGGACCAAGGAGUCAUCCUAGCAUGCGAGUGUCUGGGUGCCAAACCCUCACGCGAAAUGAAAGUGAACGGAGGUGAGAGCUUCGGCGCAUCAUCGACCGAUCCUGAUGUCUUCGGAUGGAUUUGAGUAGGAGCAUGCUGGGCUGGACCCGAAAGAAGGUGAACUAUGCUUGGAUAGGGUAAAGCCAGAGGAAACUCUGGUGGAGGCUCGCAGCGGUUCUGACGUGCAAAUCGAUCGUCAAAUCUGAGCAUGGGGGCGAAAGACUAAUCGAACCUUUUAGUAGCUGGUUUCCGCCGAAGUUUCCCUCAGGAUAGCAGUGCUGGUCUCAGUUUUAUGAGGUAAAGCGAAUGAUUAGGGACUCGGGGGCGCUUAUUAGCCUUCAUCCAUUCUCAAACUUUAAAUAUGUAAGAAGCCCUCGUUGCUUCGGUGAACGGGGGCAUUAGAAUGUACAGCACUAGUGGGCCAUUUUUGGUAAGCAGAACUGGCGAUGCGGGAUGAACCGAUCGCGAGGAUAAGGUGCCGGAGUGGACGCUCAUCAGACACCACAAAAGGUGUUAUCACAUCUGGACAGCAGGACGGUGGCCAUGGAAGUCGGAAUCCGCUAAGGACUGUGUAACAACUCACCUGCCGAAUGUGAUAGCCCUGAAAAUGGAUGGCGCUCAAGCGUCCCACCCAUACCUCGCCUUCAGGGUAGCAACGAUGCCCUGAAGAGUAGGCGGA